rfam:Neocallimastix californiae strain G1 LY90scaffold_394, whole genome shotgun sequence.
GGAGGGUUGGCGCAACGGUUAGCGCGUCCGCCUCCAGAGCGGAAGGUUGGGUGUUCGAAUCACUCACUCUCCA